CAUACACCAGUGGGGUCCCUCGGCCUGGCCUGCGCCCUCUCGCAAUCCGGGACCCCUCAGGGGAUGUCAGAGAGCCGGUUUUGGCCUGAUCCUGCAGGCCAGGCCGAGGGACCCCACUGGUGCAUG
rnacentral:pre_miRNA from 1 species